rnacentral:rRNA from 1 species
GAACGGUGUCUUCGGACACAGUGGCGGACGGGUGAGUAACGCGUGAGAAUCUGCCAUCAGGUCUGGGACAACCACUGGAAACGGUGGCUAAUACCGGAUGUGCCCUUCGGGGUGAAAGGUUAACUGCCUGUUGAUGAGCUCGCGUCUGAUUAGCUAGUUGGUGUGGUAAGAGCGCACCAAGGCGACGAUCAGUAGCUGGUCUGAGAGGACGAUCAGCCACACUGGGACUGAGACACGGCCCAGACUCCUACGGGAGGCAGCAGUGGGGAAUUUUCCGCAAUGGGCGAAAGCCUGACGGAGCAAUACCGCGUGAGGGAGGAAGGCUCUUGGGUCGUAAACCUCUUUUCUCAGGGAAGAACACAAUGACGGUACCUGAGGAAUAAGCAUCGGCUAACUCCGUGCCAGCAGCCGCGGUAAUACGGAGGAUGCAAGCGUUAUCCGGAAUGAUUGGGCGUAAAGCGUCCGCAGGUGGCUAUGUAAGUCUGCUGUUAAAGAGUCUAGCUCAACUAGAUAAGAGCAGUGGAAACUACAAGGCUAGAGUGCGUUCGGGGCAGAGGGAAUUCCUGGUGUAGCGGUGAAAUGCGUAGAGAUCAGGAAGAACACCGGUGGCGAAGGCGCUCUGCUAGGCCGCAACUGACACUGAGGGACGAAAGCUAGGGGAGCGAAUGGGAUUAGAUACCCCAGUAGUCCUAGCCGUAAACGAUGGAUACUAGGCGUGGCUUGUAUCGACCCGAGCCGUGCCGUAGCUAACGCGUUAAGUAUCCCGCCUGGGGAGUACGCCGGCAACGGUGAAACUCAAAGGAAUUGACGGGGGCCCGC